AUUGACCUCGGAUCAGGUAGGGAUACCCGCUGAACUUAAGCAUAUCAAUAAGCGGAGGAAAAGAAACCAACAGGGAUUGCCUCAGUAACGGCGAGUGAAGCGGCAACAGCUCAAAUUUGAAAUCUGGCCCUUCCGGGGUCCGAGUUGUAAUUUGUAGAGAGUGUUUCGGGCGAGGCCAUGGUCUAAGUCUAUUGGAACAUUACGUCAUAGAGGGUGAGAAUCCCGUAUGUGACCGUGGCUCGAGCCCAUGUGAAACCUCUUCGACGAGUCGAGUUGUUUGGGAAUGCAGCUCAAAAUGGGUGGUAAAUUUCAUCUAAAGCUAAAUACUGGCUGGAGACCGAUAGCGCACAAGUAGAGUGAUCGAAAGAUGAAAAGCACUUUGGAAAGAGAGUUAAACAGUACGUGAAAUUGUUGAAA
rnacentral:rRNA from 1 species